GAUGAACGCUAGCGGGAGGCCUAACACAUGCAAGCCGAGCGGUAUUGUUUCUUCGGAAAUGAGAGAGCGGCGUACGGGUGCGGAACACGUGUGCAACCUGCCUUUAUCUGGGGGAUAGCCUUUCGAAAGGAAGAUUAAUACUCCAUAAUAUAUUGAACGGCAUCGUUUAAUAUUGAAAGCUCCGGCGGAUAGAGAUGGGCACGCGCAAGAUUAGCUAGUUGGUGAGGUAACGGCUCACCAAGGCGAUGAUCUUUAGGGGGCCUGAGAGGGUGAUCCCCCACACUGGUACUGAGACACGGACCAGACUCCUACGGGAGGCAGCAGUGAGGAAUAUUGGUCAAUGGGUGCAAGCCUGAACCAGCCAUCCCGCGUGAAGGACGACUGCCCUAUGGGUUGUAAACUUCUUUUGUAUAGGGAUAAACCUACCCUCGUGAGGGUAGCUGAAGGUACUAUACGAAUAAGCACCGGCUAACUCCGUGCCAGCAGCCGCGGUAAUACGGAGGGUGCAAGCGUUAUCCGGAUUUAUUGGGUUUAAAGGGUCCCCAGGCGGACUUAUAAGUCAGUGGUGAAAGCCUGUCGCUUAACGAUAGAACUGCCAUUGAUACUGUAAGUCUUGAGUAUAUUUGAGGUAGCUGGAAUAAGUAGUGUAGCGGUGAAAUGCAUAGAUAUUACUUAGAACACCAAUUGCGAAGGCAGGUUACCAAGAUAUAACUGACGCUGAGGGACGAAAGCGUGGGGAGCGGACAGGAUUAGAUACCCUGGUAGUCCACGCCGUAAACGAUGCUAACUCGUUUUUGGGCUUUAGGGUUCAGAGACCAAGCGAAAGUGAUAAGUUAGCCACCUGGGGAGUACGCUCGCAAGAGCGAAACUCAAAGGAAUUGACGGGGGCCCGCACAAGCGGUGGAUUAUGUGGUUUAAUUCGAUGAUACGCGAGGAACCUUACCAAGACUUAAAUGGGAAUUGACAGCUUUAGAAAUAGAGCUUUCUUCGGACAAUUUUCAAGGUGCUGCAUGGUUGUCGUCAGCUCGUGCCGUGAGGUGUUAGGUUAAGUCCUGCAACGAGCGCAACCCCUGUCACUAGUUGCCAUCAUUCAGUUGGGGACUCUAGUGAGACUGCCUACGCAAGUAGAGAGGAAGGUGGGGAUGACGUCAAAUCAUCACGGCCCUUACGUCUUGGGCCACACACGUAAUACAAUGGCCGGUACAGAGGGCAGCUACACAGCGAUGUGAUGCAAAUCUCGAAAGCCGGUCUCAGUUCGGAUUGGAGUCUGCAACUCGACUCUAUGAAGCUGGAAUCGCUAGUAAUCGCGCAUCAGCCAUGGCGCGGUGAAUACGUUCCCGGGCCU
rnacentral:rRNA from 1 species